rnacentral:rRNA from 1 species
GAUGAGCGCUGGCGGCGUGCCUAAUACAUGCAAGUCGAGCGAAUGGAUUAAGAGCUUGCUCUUAUGAAGUUAGCGGCGGACGGGUGAGUAACACGUGGGUAACCUGCCCAUAAGACUGGGAUAACCACGGGAAAUCGGGGCUAAUACCGGAAAACAUUUUGCACCGCAUGGUUCGAAAUUGAAAGGCGGCUUCGGCUGUCACUUAUGGAUGGACCCCGGUCGCAUUAGCUAGUUGGUGAGGUAACGGCUCACCAAGGCAACGAUGCGUAGCCGACCUGAGAGGGUGAUCGGCCACACUGGGACUGAGACACGGCCCAGACUCCUACGGGAGGCAGCAGUAGGGAAUCUUCCGCAAUGGACGAAAGUCUGACGGAGCAACGCCGCGUGAGUGAUGAAGGCUUUCGGGUCGUAAAACUCUGUUGUUAGGGAAGAACAAGUGCUAGUUGAAUAAGCUGGCACCUUGACGGUACCUAACCAGAAAGCCACGGCUAACUACGUGCCAGCCGCCGCAGUAA